rnacentral:rRNA from 1 species
ACUCCUACGGGAGGCAGCAGUUGGGAAUCUUGGACAAUGGGGGAAACCCUGAUCCAGCCAUGCCGCGUGAGUGAUGAGGGCCUUAGGGUUGUAAAGCUCUUUCAGUGGGGACGAUAAUGACGGUACCCACAGAAGAAGCCCCGGCUAACUUCGUGCCAGCAGCCGCGGUAAU